UACGUAGGGUGCAAGCGUUAAUCGGAAUUACUGGGCGUAAAGCGUGCGCAGGCGGUGAUGUAAGACAGAUGUGAAAUCCCCGGGCUCAACCUGGGAACUGCAUUUGUGACUGCAUCGCUGGAGUGCGGCAGAGGGGGAUGGAAUUCCGCGUGUAGCAGUGAAAUGCGUAGAUAUGCGGAGGAACACCAAUGGCGAAGGCAAUCCCCUGGGCCUGCACUGACGCUCAUGCACGAAAGCGUGGGGAGCAAACAGG
rnacentral:rRNA from 1 species